UCGAUAGGUUGACCUGGGUCGGUGAUCACUGACUCCACUGGGUCAUACGUGGGGGAUGGUGUUUGGGCGUUGAUUCUUUCCAUUAAUCUAGGCAUCCAAACAUUUUUCAUUGUCUCCUUGAAAAGAUUGCUAUUAACAUCGCAUCUAAGGUGUUUAGCUUGUUUUUGCACACGAGUUCUCCAAUAAUUCUUUAUUUCAUUAUCUGUUCUUCCCGGUAGAUAUUGUGCAAUCUUCGACCACCUUAUAUUUUUUUUAAGAAAAAACCAAACAAACAAAUAUUUAUAACCGUACAAAAAUAAUAUUUUCUAUAGAAGUGUUAACUAGUAAAUGGGGAAGCAAGUAUUUACAUUUGCAUCUUUGGUAACAUACCUAUUGCCCCAGUGCAAGAACCAAAAACUCUCAUCAUCGGUCCACAUGUUGUCUCCAUCAUCACAGCCCCAAUCGUUUAACUCCAAGAAACCCGUUUGACCCGCCGGAUCAUAACCAGACCCGUUCACUACCCUGUCUUGAACGUCCGAUAACGUCUCAGCUGGCGAGUUCGAAGACGUUGCGCACAGUUCCGAAGCCUGCACGAAUUGAUGACGAUGCUGGUCCGGGUUUAAAACAAAACCUGGCUCGACCGGAGUCUGUUUGUCGAUAGGUUGACCUGGGUCGGUGAUCACUGACUCCACUGGGUCAUACGUGGGGGAUGGUGUUUGGGCGUUGAUUCUUUCCAUUAAUCUAGGCAUCCAAACAUUUUUCAUUGUCUCCUUGAAAAGAUUGCUAUUAACAUCGCAUCUAAGGUGUUUAGCUUGUUUUUGCACACGAGUUCUCCAAUAAUUCUUUAUUUCAUUAUCUGUUCUUCCCGGUAGAUAUUGUGCAAUCUUCGACCACCUUAUAUUUUUUAAGAAAAAACC
rnacentral:lncRNA from 1 species